GAUGAACGCUGGCGGCGUGCCUAAUACAUGCAAGUCGAGCGAACAGACGAGGAGCUUGCUCCUCUGACGUUAGCGGCGGACGGGUGAGUAACAAGUGGAUAACAUACCUAUAAGACUGGGAUAACUUCGGGAAACCGGAGCUAAUACCGGAUAAUAUAUUGAACCGCAUGGUUCAAUAGUGAAAGACGGUUUUGCUGUCACUUAUAGAUGGAUCCGCGCCGCAUUAGCUAGUUGGUAAGGUAACGGCUUACCAAGGCAACGAUGCGUAGCCGACCUGAGAGGGUGAUCGGCGACACUGGAACUGAGACACGGUCCAGACUCCUACGGGAGGCAGCAGUAGGGAAGCUUCCGCAAUGGGCGAAAGCCUGACGGAGCAACGCCGCGUGAGGGAUGAAGGUCUUCGGAUCGUAAAACUCUGUUAUUAGGGAAGAACAAAUGUGUAAGUAACUAUGCACGUCUUGACGGUACCUAAUCAGAAAGCCACGGCUAACUACGUG
rnacentral:rRNA from 1 species